GAAUGCUAAAAAUGGUGCCUGUCUCGGUCACUUUUCCCCUGGCGGGCAAAAUACCAAACACUUGAAAUUUUAAGGAAGAGAGGUUUAUUUUGGCCCAGGUUCUGUCCAGGGCCUGUUGUCUCCAAAGAAGGAGCAGCAAGGCGCAGAGGUGUGGUGGAGGAAAGCUGCUUGCUGGGUGUGGGGUGGACAGAAAGCAGAGUCCAGGGAGCAGCCGGGAGGGAACUAAACCACUCCCCACCCCCGUGAGCCGCCUGUUGCCAUCAGCAGCCAGCUGUGGAAGCGCUCUCUUGCUGCUGAGACUCUGUUCUCCACCUUGUAAACCAAGCCCAACUCGGCCUCCUGAAGGGUGAGAAUGCAUGGAGAGACAACCCUGGUUAUCCCGACCGUCCUGAGGGCCAGGUGGGGAAAGAACAUGAAGAUACUGAUUGUUCUGAAUCUCGCAUCAUCAGUUCACAAGACACCUGUGGUCUAUUGCCCAGCAAACCUCCAUCCCCGUUCUUCUCCAGAGAGCUCGUCACUCACAUCCACAGUGUUCUGAGAGAAGCCCUCUGCACAACCCAGCCCUACACCCUGGCCACAGUGUGCCCUGGUGGAGGGCAUCUGACUCAGGGGAACAGAGGCCUCAAUCUGCAGUCAAAGAAAAGAAAGAUGCUCAGAAAGGAACAGAGAAGAGAUGCAGACCAUAACAAAGACAACUGCUGUCUCAGCUGCUGCUGGCUACCAUCUCACCACCGUGAAAAACAGCAAGCCUGGGGACAAAAGCUGAGAUGAUGAGGAGGACAAAGCCAGGAGAAAGAGAAAAGGAGCCAGCACCCCCUCCACUGUCCCAUGGCCUUGCUGUAUGGGCUGGGUCUUUUCCUGUGUGAGAUAAGAUAGUAAAUUCCCCCAACUGUUUCAGUCACUUUGAGGGUCUCCCUUUUUUUCACAUGCAACCCAGACUCCUCAUCUUCAUCAUCAAACAUUUAGUUCAUAUCUCUUUUAUUAAGGUUUUUAAACUUUAAUUGAAAUGCUCAAUUUUAGAAUAUCUGACUCUUUUAAAAUUCUGUCUUUUUAAAAUAAUAUCCUACUCUUGCCUCAUGGAUUCUUUCAUUUCUGUCCUUGAAUAUUAAUGUGGGUUGUGAGCACAAUAAUAAUCUUUGGUUUGUUAUUGUUGUUGUUUUUGUUGUUUGUUUUCUGAGACAGGGUCUCCCUAUGUAGUUCAACCUGGCCUUGAGCUCUUGAACUUGCAGUGAUCCUCCUGUCUCAGCCUCCUGAGUGCUAGGAUUACAGGUAUGUGCCACC
rnacentral:lncRNA from 1 species